CUAUAUGGCUCAGAAAUUUGUUGGGCGAGUUGGAGCAACAACAGCUCGGUGCAACUGAGAUACGAGUUGACAAUAAAUCAGCGAUUGAGUUGGCAAAGAACCUAGUGAAUCAUGAGAGAAGCAAACACAUUGACAUUCGCUUUCAUUUUAUCCGAGAUCAUGUAAAGGAAGGAAGUGUGAAAUUAGUGCACGUGGCAAGUUGGGACCAAGUCGCGGAUAUCUUCACGAAACUGCUACCGAUGGUACUUUUCAACAACUAUAAGAAAAUAAUCGGCAUGAAGGAUGGCAGAAGCAUUUAAGUUUACGAGGGAGUUUUGUUGAAUAAACGUUAAAUGAAAGGUCAAGAGUUAUGUUUUUUUAAUGGGUUUAAAUUAGUAGUUUUUUUUAGGAGAAUGAAAGGUCAAGGGUCAUUGGUUUAUGGCUAUUAUUAGAUUUUAAUAUUUUUAGUUUUUGUUUUAAAGGGCAGACUAUAGUCUAUAAAUAGUUUGUAAGCAUUUGAUAUAUAUAAUGAACAAUUUUACAGCAAUUGCCCACACUAAUCCAAGUCCCAGUCAACAGACUUUCUGGCAACCACUAGUAUCAGGAACUAUUAAACUUAACUUUGACACUACAUUUCUUGCUUUUUCUAGAGGUUCUAUCUCAAACGUUAUAGCACGUGAUGAAAUGGGUCAAAUAAUGGGUGCUUCUACUUAACCUUAUGUCGCAGUGGCGGACGCUUUCGUUGUUGAAGCCAAAGCUUGUGAACAUGUAGUCUAUUUCGCGAUCGACAUGGGGUUUCGAAGGGUUCAGUUUGAAAGGGACUCAUUAAUCGUCAUCAAGAAGCUGGCGUCUUGUACAAUGGAUCAUUUGAUCCUGAGUCCAAUUAUCACUGGCAAUAAGCAAAGAUUGGGGUUUUUCAUAGAGGCUACCUUUUUACAUAUGAGGAGAGACACAAACGCAGCAGCUUAUGCUCUAGCCUGGGAAGGUCGACUUUUAUGGAGGAAUGCUACUGAUUGAGGAUGCGCCGGUGGUGGUGGUGGAACGGGCAACGACUGCGGACUAGUCAGCCUAGUUGUUACAGAUCUAGUUUGUUUUCUCUCUUGUGGGCUUCAGAACUCGCACUUCCGAUGCUACGCCCUUCUCUUACUCUCUCUUCGGUUUCUAAAUUACUACUUGUAGCUGGGUCGCUGGCCGACCAUUGGAGAGCUGCUUUCAAAUGAAUCCUUUAAUUUGUUUUUCUGGGGGGGGAGUCUUUUGCCUUUUGUUUUACUUUGGUUAAGGAUUUUUUGGUUUUUGUUUCUGUUGGAUUUUUACUUUUGUUGCUGGUUUUGGUUUGUUAGUAAUAAGAUGUUUGGGUGGAGCAACGUUUGGUUCCACAAGUUCCCCCUUUUCUUUGGUUAAAUGGAUGUCAAGUGUUUCCAUAAAAAAAUCAAUAUCUACCCCUUAAUUGGCCUACAAAAUGCGAAUUAGACAUUGGGUUUUGCUCUCGUAGUUACCUUGAGAAAUAAAAAAUUAAUAUCUUAUUAUUUUAAAUUAUUUAUUAUUUAGAAUAAGAUUAAUUCUAUUAUUAGGUGACAAAUACACAAAAAAAAGCAAUAUCUUAUUAUUUUAAAUUAUAUCUUAUUUAAAUCAAGAUUAAUUCUAUUAUUAGACGACAAAAGUACAAAAAAGAGGCAUACACAAAAAAUUGUAGUAUUCAAAGAGGUGUUACUAUAAAAAUGACACAUAUGAAUAAUUUAUUUUAUAAUCGAAAAUAACAUUAUUAUUAAUUUUUUACAAGUGAAUGAAAAGAGGGAAGGAGUUUACAAACACAAAGAUCGAAACAAAUCUCAUGCCAAUUAACUUAAAACCCAUACAACCUUCUCACUAAGUCAAUGGCAUGAUUGACAAAAUAACAUUAUUAUUUAAACAUUGAUAAUAACAUUAAUUUAUUUAUCUCGAUUUUAUAAAGACAAAAAAAUAAAAAAAGUAUGUAUCUACUAUAUAUCCAUCUUUAAAAUAUUGUAUAUAUAUACUUCUUAAUAUUGCACAAUUAAUUGUUUUUAAUAUUAUAUAUUAAUUUUUAAUAAUGAUUACCAAUGGUAAUUACAUGAAAUAAAAAUACUUUAUUAAAUAAUAAAAUUAUAUACACGUAUAUUAUAUAUACAUUGCCCGUGGUAUUGAAAACUGAUCUUCCAAAAAUAUAAAAACAUUUUAUAAAAAAAAGUUUGUACGUAAAAUAAUAAAGUAAAUGAAUAGACAGAACUGAAGUGAGGUUUGACUUCGGAUUGGUGGACGGAGAGGCCCAACCCAUUACACUCUUCUUUUAUGGACAUGGCUGAUGGGAAUGUAAGAGCUAACGACGUAACAGAACAAAAUGACUCCUCUUUUUCAAAAGGCUUAAACAAUAAAAUGGUACAUACACUAUACUGGUUUUUUCAAAUUAGUACUUAAAAUAUUUUUUUGUCAAAAUUGGUACCUAAACUAUUAAAUCGUUACCCAAUUUACCUCAACUGUUGGUUCCGCUAGAAAAAAACUUUCAGCCAAUCAUAACGUGCCAUGCAAACCUCUAUUUAUUUAACCCAUUUUCUUAUAUUAUCUUCUCAUCAAAAACUAGAUUUUCUUACAUUUUCUCAUCAACCAAACACCAAGAAAAAAUUAUUUGCUUCCUUGUACAAAGCUUCUACCAUUUUUUCAUUUUCAAGCUUCAACUGUUUCUACCAUCUUAAAGCUUUUAAUCUUCUUUUUUUCUUCAUCCAAUUCUUUCCUUAUACGAUGAUACGGAAAACCCACAAAUUUUAACUAUCUAAACCUCAGCAAGUUACUCAAGCCAUUCUAUAAAAUUUUUACCAUUAGAAAAAAUAAUAGUUAACAACAGUUUUGGGAUGUAAAUCAGAGUUAGCAGAACAUUGAUUUAUCGAGAAAGCCACUCAAAGAAUUUUUUUUGGGUUUUCAGUUGGGACCAGAGGCAGUGGUUCUACAAGAUGAUUCGCAAGAACUAAUUUUUUUGGGUUUUUUUUUUUAGCUUUGAAUUCCUACAACAGAUGUGGCUAAUUCAAACAAGGCUGGGUGUGCUACAAUGUUGAAAAGCCGAUUUGCAGACACCAUUAGCAGGGCACAGCAGAAGAUGUAGUGAAAUCUUGAAGAAUUUUUUGGGUUUUUUAUAUCAUUGUAUAAGGAAAGAAUUGGUUGAAGAAAGAAGAAGAGUGGAAGCUUAAAGAUGGUAGAAGCAGUGGAAGCUUGAAGAUGAUAAAAUGAUAGAGCUUUGUAAAAGGAAGCAAACGAUUGUUUUUAGUGUUUGGUUGAUGAGAAAUUGUAAGAAAAUCUGGUAAAAAUUGUUUAAUGGAAAGAAAAUAUAAGAAAAUGGGUGGUGUACAUGACAAGUUAGGAUACUAAUUUUUAUUUUCUAACGGGACUAAUAGUUGGGGUAAAAUGGGUAACGGUUUAAUAGUUUAAGUAUCAGUUCUGACAAAAAAAAAAGUUUUAAGUACCAAUUUAGGAAAACUAGUAUAGUUUUUUUUACCAUUUUGUCGUUUAAGCCUUUUCAAAAAUACAAAUUAACUAUCGUUAUUAAUCCUAAAACGUAAAAUCAUAAUAAUUUCUUUUGUCCUUCAACAUUAUAUAAAAAGUCAUUUUAAUCCUUUAAUUAUUUUUUUAAUCCUUAAACUUGCAUUAUUUAUUAAAUCACUUCAAAAUGGAUGGAAAAUUUAAUAUCUGUUAAUUUUGUUGACAUGGCAUCCACGAGACAGUCCGCAUUUAUGCCACAUUUAUGCCUGUUAGAAAUUAAUUAAUUUUUAAAAUUAAAUAUAUUAAAUAUAUAUACUUUUUAUACUUUUUUUAACAAUUUUUAUUUUUUUAAAAAUUAUAUAAUUUUUGAAUUUUUUAAAUUUUAAAAAAUUAAUUAAGCACCCACAUGACAUGUCACAUUAACAAAAUUAAUAAGCAUUAAUUUUUUUCAUUCAUUUUGAAGUGAUUUGACAAAUAACACAAUUUUAAAGGUUAAAAGAAGACGAAAAAUAAAAUAAAGAACUAAAAUAAUUAUUUUUGAUAAAGUUGAAAGGCCAAAUAAAUCAUUGUAUGUAAAUGACUAGUAGAAUGCACAUACACCUACACUUGAGAGUAAUUAAUUGAUUUAUUAUAAAAUAAUAUAAUUAAAAUAGGGAGAUUUUAUUAGUAUUUGGCUGUUAAAAUAUUCUUUUCUCAUAUAUUUUUUUUAUAUAUCUAGAAUUUAGUUUUACUUUUUAUUUUAAGGAAUUUAGUUUUUUUUUUACUUUUUGAAUUUAAAAAUUUCAAGUUCAAUUGAUAAUAUUGUUAUUUUUUUGUUAAAUUAAAAUUCAUUACAAUGAUAUAUUUUUUAUUAUAUAGUUACCAAUUGAAUUUUUUUUUCUUUUCAAAAGGUUAUAUUUGUGAAUUUACACAAGAAUUUUAAUGAUUUUAAUAAAGAUAGAAAUAUUAAAUUCUUAGAAAUAAAAGUAGAGAUACUUAUUUCAAAUAUACAAAGAGUAAGUAUAUUUAAAACAUAUUUUAAACCAUACUUUUAAUCAAUGAUGUGUUUCCUAAUACUAAGUCAAAGACAAACAGCAACCCAAGUCCUACGAUUCACUCUUCUUUCCUUUCACUUCUAUUUUUAUACCUAAACAAAUAUGCUACCAAAUAAUUUCACAAAAUAAAAGUGUGAGAUUAGAGUUCAAUUCAUAGGUUUGUUCAUGUGGUAUUAUAAUGUGUGUUAGUAGGUAAGUUUAAACUUAUAUUGUAUAAACAAAUGAAUUUAAAAAUAUAUUUGAAUUUUUUAUUUUUAAAUUAAAAGAUUUUACUAUCUAAAGUGAGAUAUAUAAUUUAAUAUUGAUUUUUUGGUAAUACAGUUAACUUAGGAGGGCUUGCUUUUCAGCAAUUUAUUCUAGGGUUUUUUCAAAGAUUCCAUCUAACAAGAAUUUUAUUUUAUUUAUUUUUACCAAUUCCUCAUUAGACCUGUCCAUGGGCUGGCCGGGCCCGGAAAAAAUUUUGGCCCGACUCUUAGGCCCGGGCCUGGCCCGGCCCGAAAUAUUGGCCUGAAAAUUUUGCCCAGGCCCGGCCCGGAAAAAAAUAAUAAGCCCGAGCCCAGCCCGGCCCAGUUUUUAAUAAACACAAAAAAAUAUUUUAAAAAUAAAAAAAUAAAAAUAAAAAAAAUAUUUUUAAAGUAUUUUAAAAUUAAAAGAUAAAAAUAAAAAAAUAUAUAUUUAUUAUAUUCGGGCCGGGCCAGGUCGGGCUCGAGCUAAAAAAGUUGAGCCCGAGCCCGGCCUAUUUUUUAAACGGGCCUCAUUUUUUGCCCAAGCCUAUAUUUCGGGCCUAUAUUUUUACCCGAACCCUCCCAUAUUUCGGGCGGGCCGUCGGGCCAGGCUGGGCCGCCCGGCCCAUGGACAGGUCUAUUCCUCAUAGAUUGUGAAAGAAUAUUAAAGAUAAUUUUCCUAGUAAAAAACUUUAGAUUAUUAAAUUUAUUAGGCUUUAAUGUCCAGGGGAACUGUUUUAUAUUUUAAAAAUUUAAUAUUAUAAUAUCAAUAUUGAUGGUUCGAGCUAUGAUGUCUCUACGUACCUCUAUUAUUAUUCACAAGUCUCGUAUUAACAUUUAUUUCGAGUUUUGCAGUCACUUAUCUUUAUUGAUCGAAGUAUUUCUCCAUCAACUGUACAUGGCUUUCUGUAGAGGCUAGAGAUAAAAUCUCGAUAUAAGGACAAUACUUUCAAUUGUUGAGGUCGAAGUCUACUUCCCAGAAGAUGAAACUUCUCCUAAAAGAAUCGAUUCCUUGUCAACAAUAAUUUAAGAUAUUAAUGGUAUUUUAAUUUUUUUUUUCUGUUUUUAAAGAAUAUAAUAUGUUAAAUUAGUGGGAUUUAAGUAAGGAAGAAUACUAAAUUUAAAAUAUAUUUCAAAUGUUGAUUGUACAUUUUUAAUAUAUGAUGAAUAAAAAAAAUCAUAUAUAAAAAUAUUUUAAUUAAUGAUUUAUAUAUUAAAUUAAAAAAGUAAUAAAAUGGUGGAAUGUUAAUAAAAAUAAAUUAUAUUGAUUAAUUAGUGCAGUUUUAGAUUAAAAAGAAAAUGAGGGCUGUCCACGUCAUGGAAAAAGCCAAUGGCACAUUAGAAGAGCCACCUGUACAUUAUUAUUAUUAUUAUUAUUAUUAUUAUUAUUAACCAAAUUCUGUAGUUAAGUUAACCAGAAGAGGCGGUGAAUUGUUAACCCAAGUUUCAUAGUUGAGUGUCCUAUCAUCCUCUGCUUAUCUCCCUACUGUAUUAUUUUCACUCUUUACCUUCUUCCCUUCCCUUAUAUAAUUCCCUCUCUCUAAAUUAAAAGUUGCAUAUCUUUUAAAUUAUACGCUGGCUUCUCAUUUUCUCUCUUUCCUCACUUCCUUACUUUGAUUACCCUUUUUAUAUAUCACAAAAAUUUUGCAGUCUUUCUUUCAGACGCAAGCAGCAGGCACCUGUCCUAGAAACAGAGAUCUUCUCAAGUUAGUUAACUAACGGUUUUUGCUAUCCCCAUUUUGCCCUUUCAUUCUUCUUCUUCUCCUUCAUCGGAAGAUGAUUAGUUGGAACGAUCUUUACACCGUUUUAACGGCGGUGAUCCCACUGUACGUUGCUAUGAUCUUGGCUUACGGCUCCGUCCGUUGGUGGAAAAUAUUCACCCCCGACCAGUGCUCGGGUAUCAACCGCUUUGUCGCCAUAUUUGCCGUUCCUCUCUUGUCUUUCCACUUCAUUUCCACCAAUGACCCUUAUGCCAUGAACUUCAGGUUCAUAGCAGCCGACACCCUUCAAAAGCUCAUCAUGCUCUUCGCUCUUGGAUUGUGGACUAAUUUAACAAGGAACGGAAGCCUAGAAUGGAUGAUCACCAUUUUCUCUUUAUCUACUCUCCCCAACACUCUAGUCAUGGGCAUUCCUCUUUUAAUCGCUAUGUACGGUCCCUACUCCGGGAUGCUCAUGGUCCAAGUCGUGGUUCUCCAGUGUAUCAUUUGGUACACCCUUCUUCUUUUCCUUUUUGAGUACCGCGGUGCCAAAAUCCUCAUCAUGGAGCAGUUUCCCGAAACUGCAGCUUCCAUUGUUUCUUUCAAAGUUGAUUCCGAUGUGGUUUCACUUGACGGCCGCGACUUCCUCGAAACCGACGCUGAAAUCGGGGAAGACGGCAAGCUACACGUUAAGGUCAGGAAAUCUAAUGCUUCCAGGAGGUCUUUGGGGCCUUGUUCCCUUCCUGCAUUGACUCCCAGGCCUUCCAACCUCACCGGAGCUGAAAUCUACAGUUUGAGCUCUUCAAGGAACCCCACGCCAAGAGGUUCCAAUUUCAACAACUCCGACUUUUACUCCAUGAUGGGUGUUCAAGGGUUUCCUGCAAGACACUCCAAUUUCGGUCCAGCUGAUUUAUACUCUGUUCAAUCCUCUAGAGGACCUACUCCAAGGCCAUCCAAUUUUGAAGAAAACAAUACAGUAAUGUCUCCACGGUUCGGAUUUUAUCCAGCACAGACUGUUCCUUCAUCCUACCCUGCUCCAAACCCUGAAUUCUCAUCCGUCACGAAGAACGCUAAAGCUACCCAACAACAACAGCAGCAGCCAGUUCAACCACAGCAGCAGCCUAAGGAGAAGGAGAAUAAUAAAGAGAAUCAUGAUGCCAAGGAAUUGCACAUGUUUGUGUGGAGUUCAAGUGCUUCGCCGGUUUCAGAAGGCGGAGGUCUCCAUGUCUUUGGUGGUACAGAUUUCGGAGUGUCCGAGCAAUCUGGACGGUCUGAGCAGGGUGCUAAAGAGAUAAGGAUGUUGGUCGCAGAUCACCCUCAAAACGGGGAAAACAAAGGUACAAUAAAUUUAUUAGUAAACUAGAUUAUUCUGCUCGGUUAGGAGUUACUGGAAUUUUUUAAUAAUAGAUUGUAGCUUGUGAAGGCAUGGCAGGCAGUGGUGACGUUAAUGGAGAGGACUUUAGCUUUGCUGGAAGAGAUGGGGAAGAGGAGAGAGAAAAGGAAGGACCCAAUGGUCUCAAUAAGUUGGGGUCUAGUUCAACGGCCGAGUUGCACCCUAAAGCCGCCGGAGGGCCGGAGUCUGGCGUAGGCAAACAAAUGCCGCCGGCGAGUGUAAUGACCCGCUUAAUCUUGAUCAUGGUCUGGCGCAAGCUUAUACGAAACCCCAACACAUAUUCCAGUCUCAUCGGGCUUGUUUGGUCCCUAAUUGCUUUCAGGUCAGCUCAUUAUUUGAUUUUAAGGUUCAAACAUUAUUCAACAAGUCCUUUUUUUUUUUUUUUUACUUUUUAAUUGGGUUGUUUCAUAUGUAAUGAAUUUACUGGUUUGGGGGGACUUUAAUUAAUGCAGGUGGCAUGUGAGUAUGCCGAAAAUAAUAGAGAAGUCUAUCUCCAUCCUGUCAGAUGCUGGACUAGGAAUGGCCAUGUUUAGCUUAGGUGAGCAUUUCUGUUAUUUGCUUUAUCUUCAACUAAUAAUAUUUGGAAAGAAAGAGAAAGGAAAGUUUAUCUGCCUUGACCUAAAUAAAAUUUCCUAGACCAACUCGGCACCACUAUUUGGUGCACUUAACACUAUGUUUAACUAUUUAUGAUACUUUCGCCGAAUUCAGGCAACCCCAUGGGAACAAAAAUCCAUCUAAUGGGAUACCAUGGACCAUUUAAAAAAAAAAAAAAUUAGUUUGACAUUGAAAGAAAUCUUUGGACACUUAAAUGGGAUUUAACCUCCCGACAUGUGGGGUCUUGUUUGCGAUGUUAGUAAGCGGUCCAGGGUCGGUGGGCAUUGGUUGUGAUAGACGCCAAUUAGGCCACCAGUUAGUGAAGGUAGGUGAUUGAUAGAUUAGGGACACUUAUGGUUUCCUAUGGAAAGUCGUAACUUUUGGUGCUAUAUGGUGAAAAAGGUCUGUUUAUGGCACUGCAACCCAAGAUCAUCGCUUGUGGGAACUCUGUAGCUACAUUUGCCAUGGCCGUUAGGUUCUUAACCGGUCCGGCUGUCAUGGCUGCCGCUUCGAUUGCAGUAGGGUUGCGCGGCACACUCCUCCGUGUCGCCAUUGUUCAGGUAAAGAAAAAUCCUUACCCUCCUCGUAAGCUUUGACUUUUAACGAUUUUUUGUCAGAGAAAUUUUUGUUUCAAAUUGAACAGGCGGCUCUGCCACAAGGAAUUGUACCAUUUGUGUUCGCCAAGGAAUACAAUGUCCACCCUGCAAUUCUUAGCACUGCGUAAGUAAACAAACUUGGAUAUAUUCAAACAUAGUAUAUAUAGCUGUUAACUACUAUAUAUAUAUAUAUAUAUAUAGCUGACGGCUUGAUUUGUAAAUAUUUUUCAGGGUUAUCUUUGGGAUGUUGAUAGCAUUACCGAUAACGCUGGUGUACUACAUUCUUCUAGGAUUGUGAGGGUACUUUCAUAGUAAGCCAGAGAUAUGAAUGGGAGUUUUCCAGGGCUUGAUAGAAUUGAUCAAAACCGGAUUAUGUUGUUAAUUAACAUGAGGAUAUUCCGGGAAAGAAGAUUUUAGUACAAGAAAAAGAAAUUGUCACAAGGGUUCCAAAACCAUUGGAGCUAACCUAGCUAAAGAUAUUUGACUUAGUAAUGUGUCCUCCCUGAUUUAAGGGAUCAUGCCCCCAUGAGAAGCCAAGUUUAUCCAAUUUCCUAGAGUAAUUUUGAGGAGAAGAAAAGAAGGCCAAUCCUGCAUAAGGGAGACAAUGAAGAGGAAAAUGGGGGCAAACAAAGCUGGUCACUUCAUAUCUAAUUAAUUCACUUUUAAUCUCCCUUAUGCUUUUAUUGUAAAGUUCGAUUUCAUUCUAAUGAAAGCUGCCGAGGGUUUUCCUUUUUUUUUUCUCCUUUCUUUUUCAAAUGCUACUGGUGCUUUUACAUUUUUUUAAUACAAGAAUGUAAUCUGAUUUGUUGGCUUUGAUUGGCAAUUAUUGGCGUAAAUCAUCUGGGUUAUUUUUUCUCUGUCUUACUUAGGAGAUUUAUUAAUGAUUUUAAAUAAUAAUAAUAAGAAGAAAAAGGUGUACUUUUAUUGCUCAUUUGGUAAUUCAGGUUUAACUAGGUGGGCAGGAAACAUGUGGUAAUGUCCUCGUGUGCGUGGCCUGAUUCAACAGCAAACAAUGGGGCCAUAGGUUAUCGAGGGUCAUCAAGAAUUAAACAAGCAAAAUACCCAAAACAAUUUGACUCCACCCUUCCCCCAAUAAUUCACCCAAAAUUUAUCCAGGUGACAGUAUUUGGUAUAAAUGUGAAAUAGCCACCUCCUGUUUUCCGAUACGAUUAUAACAUACAUUCAUAUAUUUGACAUUGAUGAAUUAAAUUAUAGAGAAGUGGGGAUAGUAGGAGCAGCGAGCAAUUAAGACAUGGCUCCGACGGGAAUGAAUACAAGCCAACAAAGACUAAUCAAGAUAUUUGAGAGGGAGAGGGUGAUGGUCGAUGUCUGCUGAACCACGGACAUGAGCCAGGUGAGAUGGGCCCAAGCCCAACCGAGGGACCAGGGACCAUUUGAGCGAUUAAUUAUACUUUUGAUUUUGAAAAAGACAUUGCCCAUGGGGGACCAUGGGGGAAUAAAUAAAUAAAAGGUUGUUUUUAUUUUGGGUUAAAUACCAAUUCCCCUUCAACUAUACCUCAUCAAACAAUGUGGUACUUACGAAUUUUUUACUAUCAAUUUGGUACCUAUAGUAUUUCACUGGAAAACAAAUCACCCCAUUCCGUUAUAGAAUGAUGAUGUAGCAUCAGUAACCACUCACACAACAUGACACUUAAUAUUUUAUAAAAAUGAAAUAAAUAUAAAAUUUCUAUUAAAAUUUAUAUAAUAUCGCAAUUAUUUUUUAAAUUUGAUCUUUUUCUUUCUUCUCCAUCGUCAAAGAUAUCUUCUCAUUAUUCUCCAUCAUCACACAACAACACCACUAAAAUUCUUUGGCAAAAUCUUACUUGCUUUUUGGAACACAUUUUUACAAAAAAAAAAAAAAAAAAGUAAAAAUCUUACCAAAGUUUCAUCGUUAAAGAGCAGCACCAGAAUUCAAAAUUCUUACCUAGGUUCCAUCGUCAAAGAGAAUCUCUUCCAUUUUUUUAAAUUCCCUACUUGGGUUACGAUAAAAUUUCAUUUUUUUCUUUAAAUAGGUAUUGAAUUUCUAGAAUUUCUCUAGGUCUGCUAUUGCUUUUUUUUUUGUUAGCUUUGAUGUGCCAAAAUUUUAAUAUGAAUAAAUUUUAUAAAUUAUAUUUCCUACAUCAUUUAGUGAAAAUAUAGUUAAAAAUUUUAUCAAGUAAUUUUAAGGAGUUACAAAGUACUAAAAAAUUUACUUCAAAUACGUUUUUAACUUUUUUUUAAUGUUUUUGAGACUACCAAUGUUUUCCUUUGAGUAUUUAAAAUUGAUUUUAUGCAAGUUUGGAAGUAGGUUCUAUUCAUAUCCAAAUGUUUCGAAACACAGCAAUUCAAUGAGAUUUUUUAGGCGACCAUGCUUUUUAGAACCUAUAAGUAGAGGUAUCAAAUCCCAACCAAGAGGUAUCGAAACAUAUCUCUAGGUUUCAAUGCAUAAGAGUCCAACAACCAUAAUUUUAAAUCAAGUAAUUGACACAAAAUUUAGGUAUCGAAACAUGCUAUUCUGUAACUGCCAAUUAAUAUUUUAAAUCGCUCCAUAUUAUCCCCAACAAUUAUAAACGAUAGCAAAUCAUUUCCUAGAUAUAAAUACCUAUCAAUAACAUUUCAAGUAAAAAAGAAACCAAUAUACAAGCAUCAAAAUCAAGAGAAAAAUUUCUAGGUAAGACAUUGCCUUGAAUACAAGCAACUCUGUUAUGUUUUAAGUAGUUUUUCCAAAUUAGUUUUAAUUUAAUAAAAAGUGUAAUUUGAUUCGUUUUAUGACCUUAGGGGCUAAAUGAGGGCUAAAGGAGGGCUAACGUACUUAGUGAGUGUGCAUGACACCAUUCAAAGGCAUAAGAGCUCAAGGCUAAUCACCAUGUUGCAACACGGGAGUCCAACGUCGCAACGUAGGGAGUAGAAUACAAGAAUUCCAAGGCUACAUUUGGUGUUGCGACACACACCUGAAGUUGAACUUGAGCCAAGCAAACUGCCUUUCGAUGUCGCGACAUAGGAACUAGAUGACACAACACCGGCCUUACAUCGAAAAGAAUUAUGAGAUAAGGGCAUUUUGGUUCACACAAUAUGUUUUUACAUAAAAAUGUCAACCGACCUAGGGCUAAGGACGACAACCAACCCUAACUCUAUAAAUAGACUCUUUAGACACUUGUUUAGGGAUGAUUUUUAUAGUUUACAAUUUUCAUUGUAAUUUAGUUUUCAGUUUCUUUUAGGAUUUAGAUUUAUUUUUAGUUGUUUUGUUCGUGUCCAACGUAGAAUCUGAUUUGUGGAUUUGUCCAAACUCUCUUUGGAUUCUUUUAAACAUUAUUCUUGAUUUAUUCUUUAUAUUUAUUUUAUUUAUCAAGUUUACAAUGUUUAUGGAUUCCAUGAGGAACUAAUCCUCUUAUGGGGGGAUUAGUAAAUGGAAGUGUGAUUAAUUAAUUGCUAUGUAGGGUUUUCUUAGUGGAUUAGCUAUUUGGGGAUAUGAAGAACUAAAAAUCUAGGCCUGACAACCUUAGAAAGUCAUCUAGGUAGGAAUUAACCCAAAAUUUUUAUUGCCUAUCCGUGAACCCCUUACCUCAAAUCGGUCUGGACUGUGAGGUCGAGAGAUAAGUAAUUCUUACCGACCCGUUAGUUUAGUGGAAGAUCGAGAGAUAUUGCUACGAUAACGACUAGUUGAUUGAGUAGAAACCUGAAAUAGGAACUAGUUAUGAUCAUCGAAGUGACCUAAUCUCCCAUGCUUAGAAUUGGUUGAGUUUAAAGAUUAGGAUUUCUUUUGUCACUAUUUUCUACAUGUUAUUUCUUUCCUUAAAUUUAUAGAUAAUUUUUAUUUUAUUUUAUGCUCAUCGUAAUAUAAUUUAUUUCAAGUACUAAUUAGAUCUAUUUUCGUUUAGGUUAAUAUUAAUUUAGUACUUGCCUUCCUUUGGUACGAUCCUCGAAGUACUCACCUACUUCGUUGUAACUAUAUUACAACCUGACCCAUAUAUGUGCGAACAUCGCCUCAAUAUUAUAUCUUUAGUUGCAAUAAUCACACUUUGGAUGUUAAUACAUCCAGAGGCGGUCAAUAACAGAUAUACACGCAAGUACAGUUCACACUUGACAAACUUACAUCCGAACAUAGUUCACCAAAAACACAACUAACUUGUUGAGAUGGCGAACAAUAGAGGGAUGAUUCAAGGCGUAAUCCUGCAAAAGAUACAGUUGAACCAAGGUGGUAUUUUUCCUAGUCCUUCCCCAUUCAAACAAUGACACAAACAUGCAUAGCACUUCUAAUUCUUGGUGAACUUACCUUACCUGCUCUGGCGAGCUGACCUUGCUAAAUUUGCUAGACACUCCUUGCCAUUCUAGCAAACUCACCUAUUAUGUAAAUGGCCUGGCAAACUAAUCCUGGUUAGCUCUAGCUUGGUGGACUCUAGCCUUGCGAGCCCUAACUUGGCUAGCUCUUAUACCCAACCAAUGUAAUACCAAAAAUCAAGUCGAGUAGGUUCGACCCGAAUCUGGCGAGCUACAUUAUCCACUUAAGUGACUCUCUGUUAACUCCCAACCUAACCUCUAAUACACCACUUACUUACAACAAAUAAUGUGUUAAGGUACAACACAAUAGCGGGAUACAAUGAAACAUAUAAAGUAAAACAUGUGAGUUAUUUUGAAGGUUCGCACAACAACUAAGGUUCGCAUAUGAUACGCAACAUAUGUUCGCCUAAUAGAAUAUCUUAUCAGUUCGUAGUAUCGCAUAAAAUCAUGAGUUCGCAUGUUGGUUCACAUAUUAGUGUAACAAACACAUUAUUCACAUAAAAACACGAGUCAUGUGCUCGCUUAAUAAUAUAGGUUCGCAAGGUAACUACAAUUCACAUAUUUCCUAGGUUCGCACCAGUAAUACUAAGUUUGCAUGCAAUACAGACUUCGCAAACAGAAAAGUCAUUCACAAAAAGUUCAUUCAUGCAAGGGUUCGCAAAAACUAUUACUUUGCAAUAAAACUGGCAUGCAUGUGAUAUUUAAUACAUACUAUGACAAAGUUGAAAGAAAAUCACAUGGUACGCAUGCAAUGAGAAAUAAAUAAAGAACAUAAAUAUAAAUCCCAACGCCUAUUUCCCAAGUUUGCUAAUAUCUAUUCAGGGGUGAUAUAACACCCCUUACACGAGACUGUUGCCGGAGUCGAGCACGAGGCGUUACUUGACUUAACUUACUAGUUUGAGGUAUAAAAAUUUGCUUUUAAAAUUAAUUUCACUAUUUACAACAAAGCUGUCCAAUCGCAUAGCAGUUACUAAAUUAAUUAUAACUCGAGCUAUGAAACUUGAAAUUUAGAUCUGUAAAUUUUCCCUGAAACUAGACUCAUAUAUCUUCUUAUCAUAAAGUUUUUAGAAUUUUUGGUUUAGCCAAUUAGUACAGUUUAUUAGUUAAAGUCUUCCCCAUUUUAGUAUUCAGCUGUCCUGACCUCUCAUCACUAAAAUUCAAUUUUCUCAUUGUAUGAUUUUAAUAUGGUGUUCUCACUUAUUUCUACAAAAAAUAGACUAAUUAAAAAAUCUAGACAUAUAAAUUACAACUCAUAAAUAUUUUUGUACAAUUUUUAAUUAUUUUCUAAAGUCAGAACAGAGGACUCCAAAAACAGUUCUGACCAUAUCUAACUAAAAUCCACUUAUCUCAGAAUAUAAAAUUCCUUUUUCUACACCGUUAUUUUUAGAUGAAAAUAGAAUCAAUAAGCUUUAAUUCUAUAUAUCAUUCACCCUCUAAAUCAUUUUAUACUAUCCUUGGUGAUUUUUCAAAGUCACGUCACUGUUGCUGUCUGAAAUCGAUUUCAUUGCAAUUUUUUACUCUUUCACAAUUUCUAGGUAUAAACUAUCACUUAGGCAUUCAUAAUAUCAAACAUAUUCUUACUUAGCCAUUUUAAUAGCUAAACAUUAUCACAUAUUUACACAUCAUCCUUUAGCAUUAUCAUAAGGACAUACAUUCAAAAUGACUAAGUCCCUAUACAUGCCAUAGUUCAACAUUGAUCAUCAUAAUCUCAAUGAUGCCAAUGCCAUGUCCCAGACAUGGUCUUACAUUUGACCUCUUUACCCAAAUGUCAUGACAUUUGUAUCCAAUACACUCUUAAUGUUUCAAUGGGGCUUUUAUCACUGAUUCUCUGUCAUCUCAUACUUAAGUUAAUAUUAAAUAAUUUCACGAAAUAAAUACAUAAUUGCUGGAAAAUAACAACAUUAAUAAUAAUUAUUGAAAUAUUGUAUUUAUUUACUGUAAACUUACCUCGGUACAAAAUUUGACCAAAUCUAGCAACUUAGUCCUCUAUCUUUUUCUUUCCCCGGUCUAACUCCGAAUUUCGUUCUUCUUGAUCUAUAAUAGAAAACUUAACUUAUUUAAUACUCAAAUUCAUCAAAACAAUCCUUGACUCAAACUUUGGAAAAAUUACAAUUUUGCCCCUAAACUUUUGCAUAAUUACACUUUUUCCCCAAAGCUCGGAAAUUAAACUUCAUCCCAUAUUCUUAUGUUUUAUGACAUGCUGGACAUUUUCCCUUCUAUGGAAACAUCAAAUUCCCACUCUAACAUGUACUUAUGAACAUUAGGUAUUUUUACCGAUUAUGUUGUUUUACUCGUUUUCACUUAAAAUUGCUUAGCAAAAGUUGUUUAACAUAAUUUCAAGCUUCAUAUUCUACCAUAAAACAUCAAAAUAAACACAUUGCACCUAUGGGUAUUUUUCCAAAUAUAAACCCUAGGUUAAAUUAUUGCUAGAAUAAGCUAAAUCAAGUUACUGGGACUCCGAAAAUGUAAAGAACAUUAAAAACGGGGCUUGGAAUCACUUAUUAUGGAGCUUGGAAGCUUGAAAACCCUAACUAUGGCUUCCCCCUUGCUAUUUUUUUUCACCAUGGAGAAGAUGAGCACAUUUUGCCUAUCUUUUCCCUUUUUAAUUCUUUUUAUUACUAAAUUACCAAAUUGCCCCUAACUUAAAAUUUUCCUAUUUCACUUAUCUCAUGUCCAUUUUUGUCUACCAACUUAACCAAUGGUCUAAUUACCAUAUAAGGACCUCCAAUUUAAAUUUUCAUAACAAUUGGACACCUCUAACAUGUAGAACUCAACUUUUGCACUUUUUAUAAUUUAGUCCUUUUGACUAAAUUGAGUGCCCAAACGUCAAAAUUUUUGAACGAAAUUUUCACGAAAUCAUACCAUGAAAUUGUAGGUCAUAAAAAUAUAGUAAAAAUAAAUUUUUCCUCAUCGGAUUUGUGGUCCCGAAACCACUGUUCCGACUAGGCCCAAAAUCAGGAUGUUACAUUUCUCCCCCCUUUUUUGGGAUUUUCGUCCCCGAAAAUCUUACCUGUGAAGAGAUUUGGGUACUGUUUUCGCAUAGCCUCUUCGGGCUCCCAUGUAACCUCACCAACCCCAUGCCUAUUUCAUAACACUUUCACAAGUGCAAUACUCUUGUUCCUUAGUUGCUUAAUCUCUCUAUCUAGAAUUUUUACCGGUUCUUCAACAUAAGUCAAGUCUGGCUAAAUUUCAACCUCUGUCGGUGAGAUCACAUGUGAGGGAUCAGAACGGUAACGACAUAACAUUGACACAUGGAAUACAUUAUGAAUCUUCUCUAACUCAGUUGGCAAAGCUAACCGAUAUGCUAACGGCCCAAUUCUUUCAGUCACCUCGAACGAUCCAAUGAAACGUGGACUUAGUUUGCCUUUCUUGCCAAAUCUGAAAAUUUUCUUCCACAAGGAUACUUUCAAAAACACUUUGUCACCAACUUGAUACUCGAUCUCUUUUCUUUUUAAAUCUGUAUAAGACUUCUGUCUAUCUGAAGCUGCUUUUAAACAAUCUCUGAUAACUUUUACUUUCUCUUCCGUUUCUUUGAUUAAAUCAACCCCGUAAAUCUGAUUUUCCUUAAGCUCUUUCCAAUAGAAAGGAGUAUGACACUUACAUCCAUACAAAGCUUCAUAAGGAGCCAUCUUCAAACUCGACUGAUAAUUAUUAUUAUAGGCAAACUCUACCAACGGCAAAUAUUUCUCCCAACUACCUUGAAAUUCUAAAACACAACAUCUGAGCUUCAAGUAGCUGAAUAAAUUUUUCUGACUGACCAUCGGUCUGAGGAUGGAAAGCUGUACUGAAGUUCAACUUUAUACCCAAAGCUUCCUGCAAUUUUCUCCAAAAUCGAAAAGUAAAUCUCAGAUCUCUGUCUGAGAUAAUCGAUAACGGUACCCCAUGUAGUCUGACUAUCUCUGAAACAUACAAUUCAACCAACUUGUCAAGUGAAUAAUCCAUACGAAUCGGGAUAAAAUGAGCUGACUUCGUUAACUUAUCAAUCACAACCCAUACUGCAUCUUUCUUUUUCGGUGUCAAUGGCAACCCUGCUACAAAAUCCAUGGUAAGUCGAUCCUAUUUCCACUCAGGAUCUAACACAGGCUGCAAUAAACCUGAAGGCACCUGGGCCUUUACCUGUUGACAGAUCAAGCAUUUAGAAACAAAUUCUGAAAUAUCUCUUUUCAUUCCUGCCCACCAGUACAUUUUCUUAAAUCGUGAUACAUCUUUGUACUACUUGGAUGAAUAGACAAAGAACUGCUAUGUGCUUCCUGUAAGAUCUUCCAAAUAAGCUCAUCAUUCUUUGGUACACAUACUCUGUCUCUGAACAUCAAACAACCAUCAGAACCAAUCUGAAAAUCAGACUCUACACUCGACUCGCAUUGAGCUCUUUUAGCUUGCAACUGACUGUUAUUUUUCUGAGCUUCAUAGAUUUCUUCGAGAAACAUCGGUUUAGCCAUCAACUCAGCUAAAAUGGAACCAUCAUCAGAUAAAGCCAAACUGGUAUUCAAAGCUCUCAAUGCAAAUAAAGAUUUUCUACUCAAGGCAUCAGAAACAACAUUUGCCUUACCCGGGUGGUAAUCGAUCACUAACUCAUAAUCUUUAAUCAACUCUAGCCAUCUUCUUUGCCUCAAGUUCAAAUCUUUCCGAGUCAUCAAGUACUUCAAGCUUUUAUGGUCAGUAAAUAUUCGGCACUUUUCACCGUACAAGUAAUGUCUCCAGAUCUUCAACGCAAAUACAAUAGCAGCCAACUCUAAGUCGUGCGUCGGAUAGUUUGUCUCAUGUGGCUUUAACUGUCUGGAAGCAUAUGCGAUGACUUUAUCUUCUUGCAUAAGUACACAACCUAAUCCGUUCAAGGAUGCAUCACUGUAAAUUACAAAUUCUUUACCCGGUUCUGGUUGUACUAAAACAAGAGCUUCAGUCAAUAAUGCCUCUAACUUGUCAAAACUCUGCUGCCACUUUUCAGUCCAUUCAAACUUGACAUUUUUCUGUAACAACCUAGUCAAUGGGGUAGCUAUCAUGGAAAAUCCCUUUACAAAUCGUCUGUAAUAACCAGCUAAUCCAAGAAAGCUUAUAACCUCUGAUACAGUUCUAGGAGGCUUCCAAUUAACAAUUGCUGAAAUUUUACUUGGAUCAACUUUAAUACCAUCACCUGAGACAAUGUGUCCAAGGAAUCCAACUUCCCGAAGCCAGAACUCACUUUUACUAAACUUGGCAAAAAGCUUAUUAUCUCUCAAAAUCUGUAGAACGGUUCUCAAAUGCUCGGCAUGUUCAAUCUCAUCACGAGAAUAAAUUAGAAUAUCAUCAAUGAACACAACUACAAAUUUAUCCAAGUAAGGUCUGAAAAUUCGGUUCAUUAAGUCCAUGAAAAUAGCAGGAGCAUUAGUCAAACCAAAUGGCAUCACAAGAAACUCAUAGUGACCAUACCUAGUCCGGAAAGCAGUCUUCGAAACAUCUGACUCUUUAACCCUCAACUGAUAAUAACCAGAUCUCAAAUCUAUCUUGGAAAACAUAGUAGCUCCCUCCAAUUGGUCAAACACAUCAUCAAUUCUAGGCAGUGGAUAUUUGUUCUUUAUAGUUACCUUGUUAAGCUGCAGAUAAUCUAUGUAUAAUCUCAUUGAACCGUCUUUCUUUUUCACAAAAAGCACUGGUGCACCCCACGGAGAACAACUAGGUCUCGCAAAACCUUUAUCAGUUAAUUCCUGCAACUGAGCUUUCAAUUCUUUCAAUUCCAACGGGGCCAUUCUAUAAGGAGCUAUAGAAAUAGGAGUUGUACCUAGAAUCAACUCAAUACCAAAUUUAACUUCUCUAAUAGGGGGCAAACCUGGAAAUUCUUCCGGAAACACAUCUAAAUAUUCACAUACCACUGGCACUGAUUCAAUUUUGAACUCUGGAUCUCUAGUGUUCAAUACAAAAGCAAGAUAAGCUUCAUACCCUUUUCUCAAACAUUUCUGAGCAGACAUAACAGAAAUCAUGACAAGAGAACUAUCUGACUCAUCUGCCUUACAGGCUCUCUCAACUAGAAUAACAAACUCUUUUAUCUUUAGAACACCAAUUGACAGUCGGAUAUCAUCAUUGAGCCCAUCCACAAAUCUUUUACACAUAAUAUCUUCUGUAGAUACACACUCUCGAGCAUACUUGCUGAGUCUGACAAAUUUACGUUCAUACUCAGUAACAGUCAUCUUACCCUGCUUUAACUCAAGGAACUCUUUUCUUUUCUGGCCAAUAAACCUCUGAUUGAUAUAAUUUUUACGGAACUCCUCCUGAAAGAAAUCCCAAGUAACUCUCUCACUCAGUACAACUGACACAAGGGUCUUCCACCAAUGAUAGGUCGAAUCUAUAAGGAGUGAGACAACACACUUCAACAUUUCUCAAGUGUACAAGAUAACUCAUCAAAUACUCUGAUAGUAUUCUCAUGCCAAAAUUCUGCUCUCUCUGCAUCUCAUCUUUAGUAGCCCGAAACUCUUCAGCGUCUUGUUUUCUGAUCUUAUCAACUGGUGGCCUUUCUCUUAUAACUGUACCUGUACCUGUAACUGGGGGAGCUACAUGGGGAAUCUGAAAAUCAUGAGGGGGUGGAGGUCUAACAGCUGGAUUUGUAUGAACGAACUCGGCAAACUAUUCAUUCAUAGCUUGGAAGAAGGCUUUUUGAGCCCUUACUCCCUGACUAACUAUAACAGGCCUUUCACUACCAUCUGGUGGCACCGUCCCUUCUGCGAGAGCGGGAGCAUUACUUUCAACAUCAUCUGUACCAGCUCUUUCGGGAUCCAUACCUAUAAAGUAAAAACAUUUUAAAAUCAUCAGGAGUCGUCACACUAUCAAAAUACAAGUAUGGCAUGUAUAGCUAGACUCUUAUUCAUACUGAAUAUUCUGAGAAACCGGCUAAACCUGUUCUGAUACCAAAAAGUGCAACACCCCUUACCCGAGACCGUUAUCGGAGUCGAGCACGAGGCGUUACUUGACUUAACUUACUAGUUUGAGGCAUAAAAGUUUGCUUUUAAAAUUAAUUUCACUAUUUACAACAAAGCUAUCCAAUCCCGUAGCAGUUACUAAAUUAAUUAUAACUAGAGCUACAAAACUAUAAAUUUAGAUCCAGAAAUUUUCUCUAAAACUAGACUCAUAUAUCUUCUUACCAUAAAUUUUUUAGAAUUUUUGGUUUAGCCAAUUAGUACAUUUUAUUAGUUAAAGUCUUCCCUGUUUCACUAUUCGACUGUCCUAACCUCUCAUCACCAAAAUUCAAUUUUCUCAUUGUAUGAUUUUAAUAUGGUGUUCUCACUUGUUUAUAAAGAAAAUAUACUAAUUAAGAAAUCUAGACAUAUAAAUUAAAACUCAUAACUAUUUUGUUACAAUUUUUGAUGAUUUUCUAAAGUCAGAAUAGGGGACUCCAAAAACAGUUCUGACCAUAUCUAACUAAAAUCCACAUAUCUCAGAAUAUAAAAUUCCUUUUUCUACGCCGUUAUUUUUCUAUGAACAUAGACUCAAUAAGUUUUAAUUAUAUAUUUCAUUCACCAUCUAAUUCAUUUUAUACCAUCCUUGGUGAUUUUUCAAAGUCAUGUCACUGUUGCAAUCUGAAAUCUGUUUCAUUGCAAAUUUUUACUCUUUCACAAUUUCUAGGUAUAAACUAUCACUUAGGCAUUCAUAGUACCAAACAUAUUCUUACUUAGCUGUUUUAAUAGCUAAAAAUUAUCACAUAUUUACACAUCAUCCUUUAGCAUUAUCAUAAGGACAUACAUUCAAAAUGACUAAGUCCCUAUACAUGCCAUAGUUCAACAUUGAUCAUCAUAAAAUACCGAGUUGUUGUGGUUGAUAGUGUGGACGCUCUCCGACGUCUUUAAGAUCCCUGAAGUAGCUUUGCAAUACUAUAAAAGAAAGAAAAAUAAAAGAAGUAAUCAUAAAGCUUAGUAAGUUUACAAGCAAAUAAUUAACAACAUUGAACACAAAUAAAUAUACUCAAGUGUCAUAAUCUCUAAUUUCCUCUUUACUUAAUCUCUUACUCGUUCACUUACUUGUUUACUUAGAUAACUCAUGAUUAUAACUUACUCUUCUCUUGCUGAAAUGUUGGUUCUCAAUUGAUAACAUAAUAUGUUCUUAACUCUUAUAAUUCACUUGAAUUUGCUAUUUAUGCUUUUACCUGAACUUUCAUGGAACAUAAUUUGUUUACUAGCCCGUUGAGCCACAUUGGAAUAAUAAGGAUACUUGAGUCUCUUUUCUAAUAAUAAAAUGCGAAAGCCAUGUCCCAGACAUGGUCUUACAUAGGAUGUUUCUUGUACUGCCAAUGCCAUAUCCCAGAUAUGGUCUUACAUGGGAGUUCUCAUAUCGGUGCCUAUGCCAUGUCCCAGACAUGGUCUUACGGGGGACCUCUCAUCUUGGUGCCAACGCCAUGUCCUAGACAUGGUCUUACAUGGGACCUCUCAUCUCAGUGCCAACGCCAUGUCCUAGACAUGGUCUUACAUGAGACCUCUCAUAAUCUCGACGAUGCCAAUGCCAUGUCCCAGACAUGGUCUUACAUGGGACCUCUUUAUCCAAAUGUCAUGACAUUUGUAUCCAAUACACUCCUAAUGUUUCAACAGGGAUUUUAUCACUGAUUCUUUGUCAUCUCAUACUUAAGUCAACAUUAAAUAAUUUCACGAAAUAAAUACAUAAUUGCUGGAAAAUAAAAGCAUUAAUAAUAAUUAUUGAAAUAUUUUAUUUAUUUACUGUAAACUUACCUCGGUACAAAAUUUGACCAAAUCUAGCAACUUAGUCCUCUAUCUUUUUCUUUCCCCGGUCUAACUCCGAAUUUCAUUCUUCUUGAUCUAUAAUAGAAAAUUUAACUUAUUUAAUACUCAAAUUCAUCAAAACAAUCCUUGACUCAAACUUUGGAAAAAUUACGAUUUUACCCUUAAACUUUUGCAUAAUUACACUUUUCCCCAAAGCUCAGAAAUUAAAAUUCAUCCCAUAUUCUUAUGUUUUAUGACAUGUUGGACAUUUUUCCCUUCUCUGGCAACAUCAAAUUCCCACUCUAACAUGUUCUUAUGAACAUUAGGUAUUUUUACCGAUUAUGUCGUUUUACUCGUUUUCACUUAAAAUCGCUUUUCAAGCUUCAUAUUAUGCCAUAAAACAUCAAAAUAAACACAUUUCACCUAUGUUUAUUUUUCCAAAUAUAAACCCUAGGUUAAAUUAUUGCUAGAAUAAGCUAAAUCAAGUUACCGGGACUUCGAAAACAUAAAGAACAUUAAAAACGGGGCUUGGAAUCACUUACUAUGGAGCUUGGAAGCUUGAAAACCCUAACUAUGGCUUCCCCCUUGCUAUUUUCAUUCACCAUGGAGAAGAUGAGCACAUUUUGCCAUCUUUUUCCCUUUUUAAUUCUUUUUAUUACUAAAGUACCAAAAUGCCCCUUACUUAAAAUUUUCCUAUUUCACUUAUCUCAUGUCCAUUUUUGUCUACCAACUUAACCAAUGGUCUAAUUACCAUAUAAGGACCUCCAAUUUGAAAUACCAUAUAAGGACCUCCAAUUUAAAGUUUCAUAACAAUUGGACACCUCUAACAUGUAGAACUCAACUUUUGCACUUUUUACAAUUUAGUCAUUUUGACUAAAUUGAGUGCCCAAACGUCGAAAUUUUUGAACGAAAUUUUCACAAAAUCAUACCGUGAAAUUGUUGGCCAUAAAAAUAUAGUAAAAAUAAAAUUUUCCUCAUCAGAUUUGUGGUCCUGAAACUACUGUUCCGACUAGGCCCACAAUCGGGAUGUUACAGGUGAGCCUCGCCAAGUCAUCUACCUCGCCACUACCAUACACGACCUACUUACUUGCGAAGUAAGAGAGGAGUGGCUGAGUUCAUUGUGAACUUAGUGAAUAAUCAGGAAUCAACAGUGUAUGCUUGUAAAGUAAAGUUUAAAACAGAGAAAAGACUUAGUCUGAAGAAAAUUGUAUCAUGUGCUGGAUGCAACACACCGCUCGGUGAAGUCCAAGUGUUCGAAUACUAUUUAUCUGAGUAUUGUGUUUAUAGCAAGUUCAGAGUGUGUAAAGUAUUAACUGUGACUAAGAAUGUAAGUUUGUGAGUGUGCCUUUGGGUGAAGUCUGCGUUGGACGAGGUUGGUGGCUUGACGGACCCCCUUGUAGAGUAUACGCCACCCUAAUUGCUAGGCAAUUAUGUUAAGUCUUUAGUAGAAGAACAAUUUAUCAUUUUAUUUAUAUAUUAUUUUAUCGGUUGAACAAUUUAGGUAGACAAAUGAGAAUUGUUUAUGUAACACCCCAAAAUUUCUAAUUUUGUUAUUGUGAAAAUAUGAUACAAAUAUCUGUCAGCUUUAAUGGUAAUGUGUUCUGGGAGAGUGUUUGGGAGGUCCCAAGUUCAAGCCUUCGCUUGGGAAAAUUUUGGUAUUUUGAAUAAAUUAGACCUUACUCUUGUUUAGUAGGCUUUUAUUUGAUUGUUGGGUAAAUCACAUCAGAAUGGGCCUGGUGGUCUGGUGGUUAAAUGGUGUGUUAUUAUGGUGGGGGUUUUGUGUUCGAAUCCCUAUGCAGACAAGGGUAUUAUUUUUUUGCUCAGAUUUCGGGAUAGAGUUAUGUAAUAGGGCGAUUCUGAGUAGUGGAUGUGUAGUAGGAAUUAGGGGAGAAGAUUAAGAGAUUUUGGGGGUUAUCGGGAUUUUAUUUUAUUUUUUCCCAUAACUAAAUUUUGACUCUCUUUUUCCAAAAAAAAUUCUGCCGUCUAUUUUUCUCCCUCUCCUCUUGUCGAAAUUCUCUGAGUUUUUCCAUCUUUCUCUUCUUUUUCUUCUUCUUGAUUUUCCCUAAUCCAUUUAUUUUCCUUCCUUUUUGCACGUGGUUAAUGUUCACUUAGUUUCGGUAAGUGUUUCUCUUCAUUUCUAUCCUGAAUCUCUUAACGAAUAAAGUGGUAAUGUUUUUUCUCUGUGAUUUGGGCGCAAGGGGAGGCUCAGACUGGUGAAUUCAAUGUUAUCGUCUUAACAAUACUUAGACGAAGGGUUAUCGUUGGGGGUAAGUUGGGUUUCGGUUCGUUCUUGGUUGUCAAUUCGCUUAUAAACCAGUUAAAUUGAUGUUGAGUGUCUUGAUUAUAGGCUUUGGAGUACUUAGGGACAAUUUUAGCAUAAAAAAAACCAGGUUUGUACUCGAAACCCAAAAGAAAAGGGAUUCGGCAAAAAGCCAAAAUUGCUUGCUGUUUGGACAACAAUAGUAGGCUCACUUUGAAAAAUUUCCAUAAAUUGUAGAAAUUAAAUUAGAGGAUGAAAAAAAUAUGGAAUUAAAGCUUAUUGAGUCUAGUUUUUCAUACAAGAAACGGUGUAAGUAAUGGAAUUGCAAAUCGUGAGGUAUAAAAAACUUUGUGAGACAAGGUCAGAUUAAAUUCGAGUUCCCCUAUUCUGACUUUGAAAAAUCAUCAAAAAUUAGAAAAAAAAAUUAGGGGUUAAAAUAUACAGGUUUAAAUUAUUAAUGAGUUUAUUUUCAAUAGAAACAAAUAGAAACAUCAUCCAAAUUUUGUACUAAGAGAUAAUUAAUUUUUAGGAAAGAAGGGACGAAACUAUUAGAAAGCAGAACAGGGGUAAGUUUGAAGAUUUUACUGUACUUAUUGGCUAAACCAAAAAUUUUGAAAAUUUUAUGGUAGAAAUUUAGUUGAGUCUAGUUCCAAAGACAUCAAACGGAUCUUAAUUCGGAAUUUUGUAGCUUAAGAGAUAAAUAAUUUAGUAAAAGUGACUCAAGUAGACAACUUUGAAAGAACAUAUAAGUAAAUAAUAAAACAUAUAUGAAUAAUUAACUAGCACCGGUUACAUUAAGAAUGGAUCACAUGGCCAAGGGCAAUUUGGGUCAAGUGGGCCACAUGGGCGUGUGAGCCCAUUUUUUUGAAAAGUUCUGUAAGGGUGCACAGGUCGCCCAAGUCGACUGUGGGCCUGCUGUAGGGUCAGUAAGCUUUACUUAGACUCCUAUAUGUGUGAUCUAUCCGUCUGAUUUUUAUACCGAGUAUAACUUAUGAUAUCUGAAUGUAUGUACUAUUAAUUGCAUAAUGGCAUGGCAUAUUUUGUAUGUUGCAUUGCAUAAGGGUGGGUUGAUGAUAUUUGGAGGAAGUGCUCGAAAGGCUAUUAAGCCUGUUAUCUGGCAGCUCAGUUGCAACCUUCUGAAUAUGUGCCAUAUUUUGGUACAGCAUGGUGUGUAGGGAUGGGUGGGUUGAUUUAAUCCCCGCAUGUUGUGUAGGCUUGGAUGGAGAUGGUGUGUAAAGGCUGGUGGGUAGGAUUCUGAUUUACUGUAUCUGCAUUCUGUAUCUGAUAUGGGCCAAGGCCCUAAUAUAUUUCUGAGACUAUAUCUGAAUGGGCUAAGGCCCAAACUGAUUCGGUAAUGGGCACGGGCCCCAGACUGUAUCUAACUGAAUUCUAUUGAUUAUCUAUAUGCAUGUUUUCUAUGGGUAUUACACACUAAGUUUACAAAAGCUCACCCUUUCUCUGUUUAACCUGUAAAGGUAAUCCCAGACUUGAUGGGCCGGUGCAGCGUAGGUCUCAACGAUGGCCACAUGUAAAUUUUAGACUGUUUUUCGUUAAUGCCUAGAAUUUAUUACUUAUUUGGGGGUUUUGAUGUAUCUUUUGGACAAUGGACUGGUUGGCUUUAUAUUUGGGACUUUAUACUAUUUUAUGAAUUUUUAAAAAAAAAAUUGCAACUCCACAAAACACGGGUUUUUCCUAAAAACUAAGGUUUUUCGUAAAUAGAAAUGAUUUUCCCUAAAUUAAUUGGUUACAAAAGGUUCCAUUAAGAGACAAGUUUUAAAGCAGAUCAACUAGUUUUUUUUGAAUUAAAUAAAAGCUAACUUACUGUAAUAGUUUUUAAACUCGACAAUCUUGUUUUCAAAUCCCUUUCCAUGUGACAUUGCCAGAUUUGACCAUAAUGUCUAGGCUGAAUUCGGGGUGUUACAUUUAGUGGUAUCAGAGGCAGGUUACAAAAAUCGGCUAUGGAUUAUGGGUUUUAUAAAAUUUGGGCUUUCAAAAAAUUGAUUGAUUUCCAAAUGAUUUGAAAUGUUUUUACUGAGUAAGUGGUACACCGAGUCUCUGGCGUCGAUCGUGUAAGUAUUUUGAACAGUGAUUUGUUUUAAACUAAAAAUGUUAUGGAUAGUAUAUUCUGAAACUACUAUAGGUAGUAAACUGUACUGAAAACACUUUAAUUAGUGUUUACUAAAAUUUGUAGAUAAACUGGAAACUGUAGUGAGACUGCGAUUUACGAAAACGAACACUGAAUAACCAAUACUGUUUUACAUAAAACAUUUGUUAAUAAACACUGAAACUGUAACUGAUUCAUAAAAAUUAUAAUACCAGAUAAAUCUGAUUAGAUAUGAGUAAACGAGGUAUCUACGGACGGGGUACUAGAGGCCAAGGUAAAGGCCUUAGAGGGGCUUGAGCUGAGUCUUCGUCAUCGGGCAGCCUACCAAAUUUGGAUACGAGCGAGACGCUAGUGACGCCCGCUACAGAGACUGGGCCUCAAGAUCGCGUGGCUGUGGACGAUGCAUUGUCCCAGGCUAUGCUAAGGAUUUUAGAGAGGGUCGCUGGGCCCAAUACUGGAUUUGGGGGUCGAGGGUCAGUUAUGAAAUGACUCCGAUCCAAUUGAGCUAAGGUCUUCAGGGGUGUCACUGGAGUCACCCCUAACGUGGCCAAGUAUUGGAUUGAGGCCACGGAGAGGAUCAUGGAUGAUCUAGAUUGCCCCCUAAGCAGAAACUAAAGGGUGCAGUUUCGCUAUUGCGGGACGAGGCUUAUCAGUGGUAGCUGACUGUUAAGGAGGACAUUCAGCCCAAACGUCUGACCUGGGAGUUCUUUAAGACCGCCUUCUAGGGAAAAUAUGUCGGAGCUAGUUAUGUGGUUACAUGUAGGAGGGAGUUUCUGAAUCUUACACAAGAGGAUCGAUUAGUGGUCGAGUAUGAGACUGAGUUUCUAAGAUUGAGCCACUAUGCGCGAGGUAUGGUGGCAUCUGAGUAUAAGCGAUUUGUUCACUUUGAGGAUGGCUUCAAAGAUAAUUUCAGAGUUUUGAUAGCUCCGCAAAGGAAGUGAGAUCUUUCUGCCUUAGUCGAAAAGGCGAAAAUCACUGAGGAGGAUAUGGAAGUAGUCAUGAUUGGAGUAUGUCAGAACUACUGAUCUAAUAUAAUCUCUACACCAGUGGUAGAGAAGUUGGUUCGUAAGGGAUGUGAGGCGUUCUUGGCCUUUGUAAGUGUUUCAGAUUUUGGGGAUUCUACAAUUAAGGAUAUUAGAAGGUAAAGGAUGCUCCGAACGUUUUUCCUGAGGAGCUACCGGGUUUACCUCUGAAUCGUGAAGUGGAGUUUGGGAUAAAGCUCCUUCCUAGUACAGCUCUGAUGUUUAUUGCCUCCUACCGAAUGAAACCUAAGGAACUUAUAGAGCUUAAGGCUAAGAUUUUGGAGUUAUUGGAUCAUGAGAUCGUCCGCCGUAGUAUGUCUCAAUGGGGAGCAUCGACACUGUUUGUAAAGAAGAAUGAUGGAUCCAUGCAGAUGUGCAUCGACUACCGGCAAUUGAUCAAGAUGACCAUUAAGAACAAGUACCCCCUACCAGGGAUAGAUGAUCUGUUUGACUAGUUUCGAGGAGCUUCGAUUUUCUCCAAGAUUGACCUCCGAUCUGGAUAUCAUCAAUUGAGGGUUAAAGAGGCUGAUGUUCAUAAUACAACGUUUAGGACUCGUUAUGGUCACUACAAGUUCCUAGUGAUGCCAUUCGGAUUGACUAAUGCACCGACAACUUUCAUGGAUUUAAUGAAUCGAGUGUUCCAGCCUUAUCUGGAUCAGUUUGUGGUGGUAUUCAUCGAUGAUAUACUGGUUUACUCGAAGACUGAGGAUGAGCAUGAUGAGUACCUUUGAGUCGUUCUUCAGACUUUAAGGGAAAAACAGCUCUAUGCUAAGUUUAUUAGGUGCGAGUUUUGGCUACGUAAGGAGACAUUUCUUGGUCAUGUAGUUUUCGUUUUGGGGAUUCAAGUUGAUCCUCGAAAGAUUGAGGCUGUUUUGGAGUGGAAGCAGCCUAGGAACGUGUUUGAGAUUUGUAGUUUUCUGGGUAUGGCGGGAUAUUAUCGACGAUUUGUAGAGGGUUUUUCAUUGAUUGCAGCACCUUUGAAUAAACUACUAUGUAAGGGUGUGCCAUUUAAACUGGACUGAUGUGGAGCAAGAGAGCUUUGAAAAGCUUAAGACUGUACUGAGUAAGGCCCUUGUUCUGAUACAGCCGGAGCCUAGAAAGGAGUUUAGUGUUUAUAGUGAUGCAUCACAUGUCGGUUUGGGAUGUGUGUUGAUGCAGGAUGGUAAGGAGGUAGCCUAUGUGUCUCGUCAACUUAAGACCCAUGAGGCGAAUUAUCCGACGCAUGAUUUGGAGUUGGUCACUCUGGUAUUCACACUGAAAAUCUGGUGGCAUUAUUUGUAUGGUGAGAAGUGUAUCAUCUACACUUAUCAUAAGAGCCUCAAGUAUCUUCUCACUCAGACGGAACUUAAUCUUAGAUAGUGCAGAUGGAUUGAGCUACUUAAAGACUGCACCAUUGAGUACCACCCUGGUAAGGCCAAUGUGGUGGCUGACCCACUGAGCUGUACAGAUAUGACUGAUCUGAGGGCGAUAUUUGCUUACCUAAGUUUAUUUGGUGAUGGUAGUUUAUUAGUCGAGUUUCAGGUUAAGUCGUCAUGGAUUUAGUAGAUUAAGGGUAAGCAAUUAAAUGAUGAGUCGUUGGGUCUUCGAUUUAGGCAGAUUGAGGGUGGUAGUACUAUAGAUUUUAGACUGAACAGUGAUGGAGUACUCUCUAUCGGUGGGAGAAUCUAUGUUCCGAAUGAAACUGAUUUGAGACGGGCCAUACUAAGAGAGCCACUUAGUAGCCUUUAUGCUAUGCAACCUUGCGGAAAUAAGAUGUAUCGAGACCUCUGUGAGUUAUAUUGGUGGCCAUGGUUGAAGUGUGAGGUUGCCGACUUCGUUUCUCACUGUUUGACUUGUCAGCAGGUUAACGCUGAGCAUCAGUUACCAUCGGGUUUGCUGUAGCCGGUUAAGAUACCGUUAUGGAAAUAAGAGCGAGUAACGAUGGACUUCGAUAGUGGGUUGCCUCUAACACCCACUUAGAAGGAUUUUGUCUGAGACAUCGUGGAUCAAUUGACCAAGUUUGCUUACUUCUUCCCGAUAGGGACAGACUUUUCUCUUCAGAAAUUAGCUAAGUUUCAUAUAUCGAAAAUAGUGAGACUGCAAGUGGUACCUGUCUUGAUAAUUUCUAUUCGGGAUCCUCGUUUCACGUCUCGAUUUCGGAAGAAGCUUCAUAAGGCUCUGGGUUCAAGAUUAGAAUUCAGUACUGCUUUCCAUCCUCAGACAGAUGGUCAGUCAGAGAGGGUGAUUUAGAUAUUGGAGGACAUGUUGAUGAGCUAUGUUAUUGAUUUCUGAGGUAGUUGGGAGGAAUACUUACCGUUAGCGGAGUUUGCCUACAAUAAUAGCUUCUAGUCUAGCAUAUAGAUGGCACCUUACAAGGCACUGUAUGGUCAUAAGUGUUGCACUCAUUUAUGUCGGACUGAGUUGGGCGAGCGACGUGUUUUGGGUCCUGAGUUGGUCUCUGAGAUAGAGGAUAAGGUUAGAUUGAUUCGGGAUCAUUUGAAAGUGGCUUCUGAUUGGCAGAAAUCGUAUGCGAAUUUGAAGAGGCGUGAGAUCGAGUAUUCUGUAGGGGACAUAGUUUUUCUCAAGGUCUCACCAUGGGAAAAUGUUUUGAGGUUCGGUCGCAAGGGCAGGCUGAGCCCUCGAUUUAUUGGACUUUACUGCAUUCUGAAACGUGUGGGACUUGUGGCUUAUCAGUUGGAGUUACCUCCGGAGUUGGACCGCAUUCAUGAUGUUUUUCACGUCUCGAUGUUGAGGCGCUACUGCUCUGAUCUUACGCAUGUUGUUUCUGUUGAGAAGAUUGAGGUUAGGCCAGACUUGACUUUCGAGGACCCGGUUCAGAUUCUGGAGCAUAAUGUAAAGGUCUUUCGAAAAAAGUCUUUUCCCUUAGUGAAGGUUCUGUGGCGUAAUCAUAGUACUGAGGAUGCCACAUGGGAACCUGAGGAUGCGAUGCAUCAGCAAUAUCCUCAUCUAUUCUGAUCAGGUAAAAUUUCGGGGACAAAAUUUUCUUUUUGGGCGUAGAGUUGUAAUGCCCCAAAAUUUCUAAUUUCGUUAUUGUGAAAAUAUGACACAAAUAUCUAUCAUCUUUAGUGGUUAUGUGUUCUGAGAGAGUGUUUGGAAGGUCCCAAGUUCAAGCCUUCGCUUGGGCAGAUUUUGGUAUUUUGAAUGAAUUAGGCCUUACUCUAGUUUAGUAGGUUUUUAUUUGAUUGUUGGGUAAAUUAUAUCAGAAUGAGCUUGCUGGUCUGGUGGUUAAAUGGUGUGUUAUUAUGGUGGAGGUCUUGUGUUCGAAUCCCUAUGCAGGCGAGGGUAUUACAUUUUUGCUCAGAUUUCGGGAUACAGUUGUGUAAUAGGGGGAUUCUGAGUAGUGGAUGUGUAGUGGGAAUUAGGGGAGAAGAUUAAGGGAUUUUGGGGGUUAUCGGGAUUUUAUUUUAUUUUUUCCCAUAACUGAAUUUUGACUCUCUUUUUUAAAAAAAAUUCUGCCGUCUAUUCUUCUCCCUCUUCCCUUACCGAAUUCUUUUGAGUUUUCCAUCUUUCUCUUCUUUUUCUUCUUUAUGAUUUUUCCCUAAUUCAUUUAUUUUCCUUAAUUUCGUACGCGGUUAGUGCUCGCUUAGUUUCGGUAAGUGUUUCUCUUCGUUUCUGUCAUGAAUCUCUUAACAAUGGAAGUGGUAAUGUUUUUUCUCUACGAUUUGGACGUAGUAGGAGGCUCAGACUGGUGAAUUCAAUGUUCUUGUCUUAAAAAUAGUUAAACGGUGGGUUAUCGUUGGUGGUAAGUUGGGUUUUGGUUCGUUCUCGAUUGUCAAUUCACUUGUAAACCUGUUAAAUUGAUGUUGAGUGUCUUGAUUAUAGGCUUUGGAGUGCUCGAGGACUGUUUUAGCUUCAAACAAAAAUAGGUGUGUACUCGAAACGCAAAAAAAAGAGAUUCCGCGAAAAGCCGAAAUUGUUUACUGUUUGGACAACAACAAUAGGCUAACUUUGAAAAGUCGUCAUAAAUUGUGGAAAUCGAAUUAGAGGAUGAAAAAAAUAUGGAAUUAAAGCUUAUUGACUCUAGUUUCUCAUAAAAGAAACGUGCAAGUAAUGGAAUUGUAAAUCGUGAGGUAUAAUAAUCUUUGUGGGAUAAGGUAAGAUUGAGUUUGAGUUCCCCUGUUUUGACUUUUGAAAAUCAUCAAAAAUUGGAGAAAAAUAAUUAGGGGUUAAAAUUUACAUGUUUAAAUUAUUAAUAAGUCUAUUUUCAAUAGAAAUAAAUGGAAACAUCAUCAACAUGUUAUAGUAAGAGAUAAUUAAUUUUUAGCAAUGAAGGGAUGAAGUUGUCAGAUAGUAGAAGAGGGGUAAGUUUGAAGAUUUUACUGUACUUAUUGGCUAAGCCAAAAAAUCUAAAAAUUCUAUGGUAGAAAGAUAUUUGAGUCUAGUUAGCGGAUCUUAAUUCAAAAUUCUGUAGAUAAAGAUAUAAAUAAUUUACUAAUAAUGACUCAAGUAGACAACUUUGAAGGAAUAUAUAAGUAAAUAGUGAAACAUAUAUGAAUAAUUAACUAGCAUGGGUUAAAUUAAGAAUGGAUCACGUGGCGAAAACCAAUUUGGGUCGAGUGGGCCACAUGGGCAUGUGAGCCUAUUUUUUUAAAAAGGUCUGUAAGGUUUCACAGGGAUGGUGUGUAGAGGCUGGUCUUCAGGGGUGUCAUUGGAGUCUCCCCUAACGUGGCCAAGUAUUGGAUUGUGGCCAUAGAGAGGAUCAUGGAUGAUCUAGAUUGCACCCUUAAGCAGAAACUAAAGGGUGUAGUUUCGCUACUGCGGGAUGAGGCUUAUCAGUGGUAGCUGACUGUUAAAGGGGGCAUUCAGCCCGAACGUCUGACCUGGGAGUUCUGUAAGACCGCCUUCUAGGGAAAAUAUGUCGGAGUUAGUUAUGUGGUUACAUGUAGGAGGGAGUUUCUGAAUCUUACACAAGAGGAUCGAUUAGUGGCCGAGUAUGAGGCUGAGUAUCUAAGACUGAGCCACUAUGCGCGAGGUAUGGUGGCAUCGGAGUAUAAGCGAUUUGUUCUCUUUGAGGAUGGCAUCAAAGAUAAUUUGAGAGUUCUGAUAGCCCCGCAGAGGAAGUGAGAUCUUUUUGCCCUGGUUGAAAAGGCGAAAAUCACUGAUGAGGAUAUGGAGGUAGUCAUGAUUGGAGAACGUCAGAACUACUGAUCUAAUAUGAUCUCUACACUAGUGGCAGAGAAGUUGGUUUGUAAGGGAUGUGAGGCGUUCUUGGCCUUUGAAAGUGUUUUAGAUUUUGGGGAUUCUACAGUUAAGGAUAUUAGAAGGUAAAGGAUGUUCCGGACGUUUUUCCUGAGGAGCUACCGGGUUUACCUUUGAAUUGUGAAGUGGAGUUUGGGAUAGAGCUCCUUCCUAGUACAGCUCCGAUGUCUAUCGCCUCCUACCGAAUGGCGCCGAAGGAACUUACGGAGUUUAAGGCUCAGAUCUUGGACUUAUUGGGUCGUGGGAUCAUCUGCCCUAGUAUGUCUCCAUGGGGAGCAUCAGAACUAUUUGUAAAGAAGAAUGAUGGAUCCAUGCAGAUGUGCAUCGACUACCGGCAAUUGAACAAGAUGGCCAUUAAGAACAAGUACCCCCUACCGGGGAUAGAUGAUCUGUUUGACUAGUUUCGAGGAGCUUCGAUUUUCUCCAAGAUUGACCUCCGAUCUGGAUAUCAUCAAUUGAGGGUUAAAGAGGCUGAUGUUCAUAAUACGACGUUUAGGACUCGUUAUGGUCACUACAAGGUCCUAGUGAUGCCAGUCGGAUUGACUAAUGCACCGACAACUUUCAUGGAUUUAAUGAAUCGAGUGUUCCAGCCUUAUCUAGAUCGGUUUGUGGUGGUAUUCAUCGAUGAUAUACUGGUUUACUCGAAGACUGAGGAUGAGCAUGAUGAGCACCUUCGAGUCGUUCUUCAGACUUUAAGGGAAAAACAACUCUAUGCUAAGUUUAGUAGGUGCAAAUUUUGGCUAUGUCAGUAGACAUUUCGUGGUCGUGUAGUUUUCUCUUUGGGGAUUCAAGUUGAUCCUCGAAAGAUUGAGGCUGUGUUGGAGUGGAAGCAGCCUAGGAACGUGUCUGAGAUUUGUAGUUUUCUGGGUAUGGCGGGAUAUUAUCGACGAUUUGUAGAGGGUUUUUCAUUGAUUGCAGCACCCUUGACUAGGCUACUAUGUAAGGGUGUGCCAUUUAAACUAGACUGAGGCGGAGCAAGAGAGCUUUGAAAAGCUCAAGACUGUACUGACUAAGGCCCUUGUUCUGAUACAGCCGGAGCCUAGAAAGGAGUUCACUGUUUAUAGUGAUGCAUCACAUGUCGGUUUGGGAUGAGUGUUGAUGCAGGAUGGUAAGGAGGUAGCCUAUGCGUCUCGUCAACUUAAGACCCAUAAGGCGAAUUAUCCGAUGCAUGACCUGGAGUUGGCCACUGUGGUAUUCACACUAAAAAUCUGGAGGCAUUAUUUGUAUGGUGAGAAGGGUAUCAUCUACAUUUAUCAUAAGAGCCUCAAGUAUCUCCUCACUCAGACGGAACUUAAUCUUAGAUAGUGCAGAUGGAUUGAGCUACUUAAAGACUGCACCAUUGAGUACCACCCUGGUAAGGCCAAUGUGGUGGCUGACGCACUGAGCUAUAGGGAUAUGACUGAUUUGAGGGCAAUAUUUGCUCGCCUAAGUUUAUUUUGUGAUGGUAGUUUAUUAGUCGAGUUUCAGGUUAAGUUGUCAUGGAUUGAGCAGAUUAAGGGUAAGCAAUUAGAGGAUGAGUCGUUGGGUCUUCGAUUUAGGCAGAUUGAGGGUGGUAGUACGACAAAUUUUAGACUGAACAGUGAUGGAGUACUCUGUAUCUGUAGGACAAUCUGUGUUCUGAAUGAUACUGAUUUGACAUGGGCCAUACUAAGAGAGCCGCAUAGUAGCCUUUAUGCUAUGCAACCUAGCGAAAAUAAGAUGUAUCGAGACCUCUGUGAGUUAUAUUGGUGGCCAUGGUUGAAGCGUGAGGUUACCGACUUCGUUUCUCACUGUUUGACUUGUCAGCAGGUUAACGCUGAGCAUCAGUUAAGAUACCGUUAUGGAAAUGAGAGCGAGUAACAAUGGACUUCGUUAGUGGGUUGCCUCUAACACCCACUAAGAAGGAUUCUGUCUGGGAUAUCGUGGAUCAAUUGACCAAGUCUACUCACUUUUUCCCGAUAAGGAUAGACUUUUCUUUUCAGAAAUUAGCUAAGUUCCACAUAUCGAAAAUAGUGAGACUGUAUGGGGUACCUGUCUCGAUAAUUUCUGUUCGGGAUCCUCGUUUCACGUCUCUAUUUUGGAAGAAGCUUCAUGAGGCUCUAGGUUCAAGAUUAGAAUUCAGUACUGCUUUCCAUCCUCAGACAGAUGGUCAGUCAGAGAGGGUGAUUUAGAUACUGGAGGACAUGUUGAUGAGCUAUGUUAUUGAUUUCUGAGGCAGUUGGGAGGAAUACUUACCGUUAGCGGAGUUUGCCUACAACAAUAGCUUCUAGUCUAGCAUCUAGAUGGAACCUUACGAGGCACUGUACGGUCAUAAGUGUUGCACUCCUUUAUGUUGGAUUGAGUUGGGCGAGCGACGUGUUCAGGGUCCUGAGUUGGUCUCUGAGAUAGAGGAUAAGGUUAGAUUGAUUCGGGAUCAUUAGAAAGUGGCUUCUGAUUGGCAGAAAUCGUAUGCGAAUUUGAAGAAGCGUGAGAUCGAGUAUUCUGUAGGGGACUUAGUUUUUCUCAAGGUCUCACCAUGGAAAAAGGUUUGGAGGUUCGGUCGCAAGGGCAAGCUGAGCCCUCGGUUUAUUGGACUUUACCUCAUUCUGAAAUGUGUGGGACCUGUCGCUUAUCAGUUGGAGUUACCUCCGGAGUUGGACUGCAUUAAUGAUGUUUUUCACGUCUCGAUGUUGAGGCGCUACUGCUCUGAGCCCAUGCAUGUUGUUUCUGUUGAGAAGAUUGAGGUUAGGCCAGACUUGACUUUCGAGGAGCCGAUUUAGAUUCUGGAGCGUAAUGUAAAGGUCUUUCGGAAAAAGUCUUUUCCCUUAGUGAAGGUUCUGUGGCGUAAUCAUAGUACUGAGGAUGCCAUGUGGGAGCCUGAGGAUGCGAUGCAUCAGCAAUAUUCUCAUCUGUUCUGAUCAGGUAAAAUUUCGAGGACAAAAUUUUCUUUUAGGGGGUAGAGUUGUAAUGCCCCAAAAUUUCUAAUUUCAUUAUUGUGAAAAUAUGACACAAAUAUCUGUCAGCUUUAGUGGUUAUGUGUUCUGGGAAAGUGUUUGGGAGGUCCCAAGUUCAAGCCUUCGCUUAGGCAAAUUUUGGUAUUUUGAAUGAAUUAGGCCUUACUCUAGUUUAGUAGGUUUUUAUUUGAUUGUUGGGUAAAUUACAUCAAAAUGAGCGCGCUGGUCUGGUGGUGAAAUGGUGUGUUAUUAUGGUGGAGGUCUUGUGUUCGAAUCCCUAUGCAGGUGAGGGUAUUACUUUUUUGCUCAGAUUUCGGGAUAGAGUUGUGUAAUAGGGGGAUUCUGAGUAGUGGAUGUGUAGUGGGAAUUAGGGAAGAAGAUUAAGGGAUUUUGGGGGUUAUCGGGAUUUUAUUUAUUUUUCCUAUAACCGAAUUUUGACUCUCUUUUUCAGAAAAAAAUUCUGCCGUCUAUUCUUCUCCCUUUCGUCUUGCUGAAAUUUUUUGAGUUUUCCAUCUUUCUCUUCUUUUUCUUCUUCAUGAUUUUUCCCUAAUUCAUUUAUUUUCCUUAGUUUUCGUACACGGUUAGUGCUCGCUUAGUUUCGAUAAGUGUUUCUCUUCGUUUCUAUCAUAAAUCUCUUAACAACGGAAGUGGUAAUGUUUUUUCUCUACGAUUUGGACAUAGUGGGAGGCUCAUACUGGUGAAUUCAGUGUUCUUGUCUUAACAAUAGUUAAACGGAGGGUUAUCGUUGGUGGUAAGUUGGGUUUCAGUUCAUUCUCGGUUGUCAAUUCGCUUGUAAACCUGUUAAGUUGAUGUUGAGUGUCUUGAUUAUAGGCUUUGGAGUUCUCGGGGACUAUUUUAGCUUCAAAUAAAAACAGGUGUGUACUUGAAACGCAAAAAAAAAAA
rnacentral:lncRNA from 1 species